rnacentral:rRNA from 2 species
GUGAACCUGCGGAAGGAUCAUUAUUGAAAU